rnacentral:rRNA from 1 species
UACGAAGGGGGCUAGCGUUGUUCGGAAUUACUGGGCGUAAAGCGCGCGCAGGCGGUCCUUCAAGUCAGGGGUGAAAGCCCAGGGCUCAACCCUGGAAUGGCCUUUGAGACUAGAGGACUUGGGUACGGGAGAGGUGAGUGGAAUUCCGAGUGUAGAGGUGAAAUUCGUAGAUAUUCGGAAGAACACCAGUGGCGAAGGCGGCUCACUGGCCCGGUACUGACGCUGAGGUGCGAAAGCGUGGGGAGCAAACAGG